rnacentral:lncRNA from 10 species
CUUCUUGAUGUGUAGGAAGCAAGAGCUUCACAGGUACAUCUUUUAAGGUUCUUCCCCAGGCCUGAAAGCUUAAGGAGAUGAAUAACUCCUCCCUUCUCAGGCCUGGUACCAAGGUGCAAAGCUACUUGCAGCAGCAGCGUGCGCCAGCAAGAUAGCAGAAGCAGGAAGAGAGCCAGCCGGAAGACAUGUACCUCUGAAGAUCAAGAAAGAGGCUAUCCAGAAGAGAACAGCAUCAGGGCACAUUGAGGCUCAGAAAUUUAUAUUCCAAGAAGAGGUGCACAGGAACAGAGCAGAUCCAAAGCAGACAACCACCUGGAAGCAGUCAUAACAACAGCAAUAGCAAAUCAAUGCUGAUAAAAGAAAUCAAGUACAGAGAGUUUUAAGGACAUUGUCCAAAGUUGUACAAGGGCACCAUUUUUAAAAGUUGACAACCUCCUGCAGGGAUGUUCUGAAAGACAGAGACAUCUUGUCGGAAUUAUGAAUGUCCUUGGUGGAUGAGGCAGAAAGAGUUGACUGUGUAGGACAUUCCUGACAAGUCCUCAGGAUUUGAAAUGG